CCAGAGAGGAGAAAGACGAGCAUAUUUCAAGUUGCCAGUCUUACCCCUCUUUGUUU
rnacentral:precursor_RNA from 1 species